rnacentral:rRNA from 1 species
AGUGAACGCUGGCGGUAGGCCUAACACAUGCAAGUCGAACGGCAGCACAGUAAGAGCUUGCUCUUACGGGUGGCGAGUGGCGGACGGGUGAGGAAUACAUCGGAAUCUACUUUUUCGUGGGGGCUAACGUAGGGAAACUUACGCUAAUACCGCAUACGACCUACGGGUGAAAGCAGGGGAUCUUCGGACCUUGCGCGAUUGAAUGAGCCGAUGUCGGAUUAGCUAGUUGGCGGGGUAAAGGCCCACCAAGGCGACGAUCCGUAGCUGGUCUGAGAGGAUGAUCAGCCACACUGGAACUGAGACACGGUCCAGACUCCUACGGGAGGCAGCAGUGGGGAAUAUUGGACAAUGGGCGCAAGCCUGAUCCAGCCAUACCGCGUGGGUGAAGAAGGCCUUCGGGUUGUAAAGCCCUUUUGUUGGGAAAGAAAAGCAGCAGGUUAAUACCCCGCUGUUCUGACGGUACCCAAAGAAUAAGCACCGGCUAACUUCGU